rnacentral:rRNA from 1 species
CUUGACAUCCAGAGAACUUGGCAGAGAUGCCUCGGUGCCUCGGGAACUCUGAGACAGGUGCUGCAUGGCUGUCGUCAGCUCGUGUUGUGAAAUGUUGGGUUAAGUCCCGCAACGAGCGCAACCCCCUAUCCUUUGUUGCCAGCGAUUCGGUCGGGAACUCAAAGGAGACUGCCGGUGAUAAACCGGAGGAAGGUGGGGAUGACGUCAAGUCAUCAUGGCCCUUACGAGUAGGGCUACACACGUGCUACAAUGGCGUAUACAAAGAGAAGCGACCUCGCGAGAGCAAGCGGACCUCAUAAAGUACGUCGUAGUCCGGAUUGGAGUCUGCAACUCGACUCCAUGAAGUCGGAAUCGCUAGUAAUCGUAGAUCAGAAUGCUACGGUGAAUACGUUCCCGGGCCUUGUACACACCGCCCGUCACACCAUGGGAGUGGGUUGCAAAAGAAGUAGAUAGCUUAACCUUCGGGAGGGCGUUUACCACUUUGUGAUUCAUGACUGGGGUGAAGUCGUAACAAGGUAAGCGUACGUGU